UACGUAGGUGGCAAGCGUUGUCCGGAUUUAUUGGGUUUAAAGGGUGCGUAGGCGGUCCUAUAAGUCAGUUGUGAAAUACGGCAGCUUAACUGUCGAGGCGCAAUUGAUACUGCAGGACUUGAGUACAGACGAGGUAGGCGGAAUUGACGGUGUAGCGGUGAAAUGCUUAGAUAUCGUCAAGAACACCGAUAGCGAAGGCAGCUUACUAGACUGUAACUGACGCUGAGGCACGAAAGUGUGGGGAUCAAACAGG
rnacentral:rRNA from 1 species